rnacentral:rRNA from 1 species
UACGUAGGGACCAAGCGUUGUUCGGAUUUACUGGGCGUAAAGGGCGCGUAGGCGGCGUGACAAGUCACUUGUGAAAUCUCUGAGCUUAACUCAGAACGGCCAAGUGAAACUGUCGUGCUAGAGUGCAGAAGGGGCAAUCGGAAUUCUUGGUGUAGCGGUGAAAUGCGUAGAUAUCAAGAGGAACACCUGAGGUGAAGACGGGUUGCUGGGCUGACACUGACGCUGAUGCGCGAAAGCCAGGGGAGCAAACGGG